GGUGUUAGUUUUACUUUAUCAUGUAACUUUUUUUACAGGUGCAGAUUCACUCUACAGAAACAGUUUCAGCCUCAGUGAUGAAAAGCUUAACUCUCCAACUGCAUCUACUCCGAGCUUGCCAUCCCCAUCAGUAACUCCAUGUAAAGCAAAGCUUGGAGACACAAAAGAACUGGAAGACUUCAUCGCUGAUCUUGACAGGACACUAGCAAGUAUGUGAAAUGAACCUUUGGCAUUGUGCUUGCCUAUGAAUGUCUUCUGAAGGAUAAGUGACAUCAAUCACUGAGAACUGCUGCCCUUUUCUGAUAACUUUGCUACCCAAGAUACUCGCCUUCUGAACAUAACCUUUGUAAACUCCUACAAGUAUUUAAUUGGCAACAUCAGUUUUGUUACUUUGCAGCAGAUGGAAUAAGAUAACUGUUAUAGCUGUAUUUUGCUUUAAAAUAUAGCUUGAAUUUUAAUUUAAAGUUGCUUUUAUGAAAAUAUAUUUGUAAUUUUAUAUAGUUGAGAACUUUUAAUGCUUUUUUCCAUUAUAAUAUAUUUUUGUAUGCAAAUAAACCCUGAACUGGAAUCCAGAUGUCUGAAAGCUUCAUAUGAACAUGCGAACUCUGAAACAUAAGUACAAAUUAAGCUCUUACUGAAAACAUCAAGCUUUAAAAUAUCUGAUAAGGGUGUAUUUCCUGUUAGGCAAAAUGUGUUAGUGCUGGCUUUGUGUGGAACUUC